GUGUGGGAACCGUGUCGGACUACAGCGCCCGGCAUGCCAUGCGGCCGGACUACAGCUCCCGGCAUGCGCCGCGGCCGGACCGCAGCGCCCAGCGUGUCCCGCGCUCGCAAGAUGGCGGCGCCCAGGGGCGGCUCGGGCCCGGGCAGCGACAGCAGCUCGGACUCGGACAGCGGCGCUGAAGCGGCCGCGCGGUUCCGGGAGGCUGCCUGGGACUGCACUGCGCUGGCGGCGGCGCGGGCGGAGCCGCGCAGCGGGGGCUUUAGAAAGGAUCGGUUGCAGCCUAAAGAUCAGCCAAGCCUGAGGCGUGAGGCAAUCGGCCGCGAGGAGGGUGACAAUGAGCUCCAGACAACUCCAGAGUUCAGAGCACACGUAGCAAAGAAACUGGGAACCAUGCUAGACAGCUUCAUCACUGUCUUGAAGGACUCAUCGGGACCAUCACAGGCUUCGGUGGCACAGUGUGACUCUGAAGAUGAUGGUUUUCGCCUGUUCUCUUCCUCUGUCCCUGGUGACUGUGGGAAACCGGAGCCUUGCCCUGCAGCAAGGAGGAGGCAGCCAGUUAGCUCCAGUGACACAGACAGUGACCAGGAGUGGCAGAGGUGCCGGGAGGCUGCCGUGUCAGCUGCGGAUAUUCUGAAGCAAAGUGCUUUCCCUGCACUGUCCCAGGGUUCCAGCCAGGAUCAGAGUCAGGGUUAUGUAGAGCCCAACCAGAAAAAAAAGAAGAAGAAGAAGAAGAAAAUUAGGAGAGAGAAUAGCAUUCAAGAGAAAAUAAUAGACCCAGCAGAGUGUGACCAGAUCUGCAAAGAUUUGCCUCGGCUGGUGUCUGCAAAUGGCCAGCAGGAGAGACAGAACAGCAAUCACAGAGAGAACUCUCUGUUGCCAGGAGCUGUGAAGAAGAAAAAGAAGAAGAAAAAAGAAUAAUGAUUUUGCUCUGCAAACAGCAGGUGGUUGUGAUGGGUGAAGGAAACUGAAAGGAAACCUAACAACAAGAGUUGCUGCAGAUGAGGGAAAAUUAAUUGGCAAAGCGUCUCUUCUAAAAGCUCAGUGGCCUGAGAGACUAAUUAAGUGACUUCCUGUGCUCCUGGCAUCCCCGAGGAAGGGAACAUUGUUCUUCUCACACAGCAGUUGUCUGUGCUGCUGCUUAUGCAGGCCCAAUCUAAAAGGAUUAAAUGCUGUGCCAGACUUGCAUGGCAGAGGGAUGUGAUCAUAGCUGCAUUCCUCCUGCUCUGUUCCUUCACAUCUGAAACCUUUCUGGAGAAAGUGUAUGAUGAAUUGAAUUCUGUUUUCAUGGCAACAGGUGAGAGAAGCCUUCAUUUCCCUGAGGUGGAUUCUGAACUGCUGCUUUGGACCAGACCCUGCUCAAACAGAGGUUCAGAGCUGUGAAGUGCUCAGGACCAUCCCCUGGCCCUUUCCUCUGGAGCUGCUCCACUCCUCAGUGCCCAGCCUGGAGCCAGGCUGGGCAGAGGGAAGGUAAGACCAUCCAUCCUGGCAGUGUUCCUUUCUGUUGAACUUGGCCUCAUCUUGGUUUAUAUGUGGAAAUGAAAGGGGUGUGGCAGCUUCAUCUCCAGAUUCCCCAGCUAGAGCCGUUCUAAGCUAAGCCGGGGGAAAGACAGGACCUUUGUCAUUAUGUAUCUUUGUUUCCUUUUUUCCUCCUGGAAAACAUGCUUUUAUCCCUGCCUCCAGGGGAAACCUGUUGCUUAUCUCAAUUUUCCUCUUUCCUAAUGGAAUUUCAGCCCUUGCCCUACAGGUGGAUUGUCACUAUACCUCUCUUCAUUUGCUUUACCUACAGUAGUAUGAUCCCUCCCCCCAAGGUAGCCUCCUUCUUGCUUUAUAUUCUGGGAAUAUCUGGGAGUUUCUCCUCACACCUCUACCUCCCUACUGAGUCAUUUAUUUCUUAUCAUAGAUGCAAUUUGUUUUGUGUGUGGAUUGAUAUGGAAAGAAUGUUUUUAUUCAAACUGUAAAUCUACGGGAGAUCAGUGAGACAUAUGAAAGGACGAAAUGAAAUUAUGUUAAUUCCCCACAGAGAAACCUUUAUCUGAACUGCUUUUAGCAUGUUUUCUCUCUAGGGACGAAAUCUAAUCCACACCCAUGGGUGCACCCAGUCCUGUGGGUGUAUCUUCUCUGUUCUACUCAGCUUUGAGCAGAGUUUUCCAAACUGGUUUCAGCUUCAGUGGUCCUGUGAAUACAUAGUUGGUCUUUUGGUGCUGUCAAUUUUUUCUCUUUCCAGCUACUGGAAAGCCUAAUAAUGGACAUUUUUCCUGAUUCUACUUUAUAAAGUGAUGGCUUUAUAAGCAGUGGCUGCAGUUACCACAAAGACUUUCCUGUAUUAGCAAUAGCUGCCCACAAGUCAAUCUCUCUGUUAAAAUUUGGUCUGCAGACCAGGAAUGGUUAAUAAUGCCCAAAGAGGCUUCUGUCUAAAGGGAGAAUUGCCUCCAUCUGGUUUCUGCAUUUGAAACCCUUGUGUAGAUGGUGAAAUAGUUUUGCAAGCAUUGACCUUUUGCUGGGAAUCCCUGGGCAUGGAGAUUCUUGUCUGCCUUUCUUUUGUCUAUUGCUGGAAGUAAUUUCUACCAUAGACUGUUCUGCCCUGCUUUACAAUACUUAUAGUACUAUUUAUUUAAGGCAUCUAUUAAUGGAAAGGUUUGAUCUUAAAACCAAAAAAAGUUUAUUAGUAGAUAAGAACUUCUUAGGUAUUAUCAACCUCUGCUACUGGUUCAGAUGCUUUGAACAGAUUUUUAGACCCACUGUUGAUUUGAUGAGAAAUGUGAAACAUGUCAACGCAGGCUUCCUACUCUUUUCAUUUUAACUUGAUAAUUUUUGAUCUAUUAUAGACCUCCACUCUUUUUCUCAAACUGAGGCUUCUGGUGUCUUUAUAUUGUCAUCAACAGCAGAAGUGAAUUGCUCUAUCCUACGGUGGAGGAGAUUGAUGACAGAGAUCUCUGAUGUUUCAGAGUAAAGCCUUUGUAAUUAAGAACCAGUGUGAGGCUUAGGAGAUCCCUGUCCUUGCCCAGUCUCCUCUGUGCUGUCUCAGGGGUUUAGAUAGGUCCUAGAAUUUGUCUGUACCUCAGUUUUCAUUUGUGAAAUGGAAAUGCUGCUUAGCAGACUGACUGUCAGAAAGUGUUAAUGUCACAGCUUUGGAAGAGAGGUAAGACUUGUGGUGAGGCUGGUAAGCACAGAGAAGACUGGCAGCAAGAUCUUAGAAAGGCAGGGAGGAUCAGAAGCCAGAAAUGGUGCUGAAGUGAGGGUGACAGGAAGGAGUUGCCUCCAUCCGUGUGCCUGUUCUUAGAUCACAGCGGAUGUUACUUCAGUCCUGCUUCACCCACCCAUUAGAGAAAAAGGGACAAAGCCGGGGGGGCCUUCCUCAACUUCCAUGGCUUCUUUUCUGGAGAGAUACUUGAUAAACCAUCAAAAGUUAAUGAUCAAAAGGCUUAUCAGGGUAUUUUCAUCUAUAAAUUUAUAAGACAAAAAGAAAUAAUAAAGCCAUUGGAUAAUUAGUAACUAGCCAGGGCCCGCCCGGUGCCACUGGGCUCAAACUGCCCCAAGACCUGUACGCAGACUCAGGAAGAUGAGAAGGAGACAAGGAUGAGGGGAAGAAAAAGAGUGAGAGGCAGAGAGAAUCAGCCAAGGAGACAACAAAAUGGGAGGAAUAGCAGCAGAAACAAUAGUGAGGAGAGAAGGGAAAUAGGUAAAAAGAAUCUGAAAGAUGUAAAGGAAGUAGGGAAAACUUAAAGAUGUGGAAGAGCUAGAAGUGCAGAAGAAAUGAGACAUACUGGGCCAGGAAGAAGACAGAAUUACUGGGAAUGUUUUCCCACACAGCCCGUAGGGUUCCGCUUCGCUCAGUGCCUUGAUCAAGGUCUCCUUGGUCAGCCCCGACUCCAGCAGCGCUUCCAGCAGCUCCACUUGGAGAUGAGUCAGCUUCGAGACCAUGGUCUUCAGCCUGGUGUCUCUCGGGUUGGAAUUUUGGGUUAUCCUGCUUCCAGCUUCCCUACACCAUGGUCCCGAGGUAACACGCCCGACUGUCAGGAGAGUGGGCACGGCACAGCCUCCCGCCUUUACACCCCCCAAAAAAAACAAAAUACAAAAUUGAGCCACUUCAGACCCCCCACGACUGUCCUGAGCCAGUGCUGAUAAAGGGACCCUUGGCUAUCUGUUUACAUUGGAGCAAAUGUAAAUUCUCCAAGGUUCAUAUUUAUCUGUGUGCUUUAGCAAGUUACUGAACUUUGGACUUCAGCACUGCCGCAGCAGUUCACAAAGUGCAGAGGGAGAGAAAGCAGGGGGAGGGGGAAAGGGAGGGAAGCAGGACAGAGAAGGAGAAGAAAAUGAAGGGAUAGAAAAUCUGCAGCAUGGAAAAGUGAGUAUGGAAAGAAAACUAGGAAGAUGGGGAUGGAGAAGCAUGGCUGACUUCUGGCCCCAUUAGUUUUGGAGAAGGAAGGAGGUGGGGUACCCAAAAGGAGGAGCUGUGCUGGGCUGCCCAUGGUUCAGGACAAGGUGCUGCUGUUGGAAUAUUGCAGAACCUGCUCAGAGCUCUGGCAGUGGUGAAGUACAGCCAGUGUCAGGCCCUGCCAAAGGCUUUGGGCUGAGAGAAAGCCACACUGGCAGCUGCACUGGUCUUUGUGCAACCCCCAGCACAGGGGCAGGCAAGCACUGGCUUUAUGCGAACAUUCCCAAACCUCAAAGGGUAUUCUGAAGCUCCAGCUGAUUUCUGUGGCAGAGCAUGAAGACUUAAGUGACUUUUUCAUUUCUAGCUUUGGCUGCUGGAUAUCUUGAUGUGCAAAUACUAGCAGUACCUCCAUUUUACCUUGCUAUGUUUAUUGCCCAACUAUGAGCAGGAGCAGUGUUCCCACAUAACCUGGGGGAUUGCAGGGCUUGCCCUUCUGAGCUUGUGAUUCAUUUAUUGGAUAAAGGAUAGCCCUGGGUGCUGGGUCAUGCUCAAACUCCUGCUCUAUCAUCAACUGUUCUACUGCUUCUGAUGAGUGCUCUGGGCAAGCUUGUGGUUCCCCUUUAUCAUCUGCCUCCAUCCGUUCCUGAUACCAGCCCUGCUCUGAGGUUCUGCUUCCACCUGUUGGGUGAUUUCCUAAAACGUGAUCCCUAGCUUGGCUGGAAUUGCUUAAAACAAUUCUCCAGGAAUCUUUUUGACUGAAUUAUCUUUUCUGGUCUGAAAUGAUAUGAAUGAACUGAACCUAUCUACUUUGAGUGGCUAAAUUAGGGAGUAACUUGAUGUGCACAUGUGGGCUCGAUGCACGAGUGCGUCACGCGAGUGAUUCCUGGGAGGAUGUAAAGCUGUUGUCUCAGUGGAAGCUUGCCAGGGGCAGCUGCCUGUGUCUGUACACUCCCAUCAGCCUGAGCUAAACGGAGCCUGGUGGGGCUGUCCCCAGACUGGGCAGUGUCCCAAGGCAAUGCUGCAGAGGACCUUGGCUCCUGUUUUCCCUUGAGGGCACCACUGGCCAGGCUCUCCAGGCUCCUGAGUCAGCAGCUGCGGCUCAGAGUUCCUGCAGAGGGACCCUCCUCCCUCCAGGCACGGGAGGCACUGUGUUAACUCUUGCCUUUUAUUUCAGAUCUGGUCUGUGCCCAGAGCACCACGUCCCGACCCUGCAGGGCGUAAGCAAAGCUCUAAUGGAUACUGAGGACUUUGUGUGGCUAAAAACGCAGGAGAAUUCCAAGUCCAUGUAAAAACAUUUAUUUGAAGAAAUGUUCAUGUGAACAUGAAUGUAAAGACAACUUCGGCUUCUAAAGAUAUUUUUGGGGUCAUACUCUUAAUAAAGAGUUGUGCUGGUUUUGCACCCAUCACAAGAGUA